UGACCAGCCCUCGCCACACGUGGAUUCCCCACUCGCCCAUCCCCCCAAAAUCCCCAACUGCAGGCACCACUGGCUCCGGCGCAAUUUCAAAGCCUCCUCCGCUCUCGAGAGAUGUGAAGGCCGCCGAUCUACCGGGUUAGUGCCGAGCCGCCUCUCAUCCCUCGCGUCGCCCCACAACUGCCGAGUCGUACCACGUAGGUAAAUCGAGGUUCUGCGAUGUGACCUAGAUCAUCUAUAGGCACUGCCACGCCCGUUUGAGCAUCCAUCUUUCCUACUGAUUCUAUAGGCGAAGGUCGUCCUGGUCCCUCCACGUGCCAGAGAUGCCCGAGCCUGUAUGUUGCGAUACCUGCAGGAGCACACAGUUGAGUAGUUCGAUCCAAAGAGGUGAAGAAGUUCAGGGAGAGACAUGGGUCUCUACUGGAGUAGAUAGAGAUAGAGGAUAGAUGAGAAAGAUGAUACGUUGACAGGUAAUCCCUCAUGCCUACUGCGUGCUCAACUGCAGUCUGUGGUAGCGGCCACCAGAGUUUUCUUCUGUUAAUCUCCAACACAACCAUCAAUUGACGUGCUGAUUGUAGCAUUGUUCUCAUGUAAGGAAGAAUCUUGUUAUUUCCUCAACUAGAUUUUGAAGUAUUUCACUAUUAUUGUUUCUGCAGGCAUACUGCAUUGAUCAUCGUGGCCACCACCACUUUUGGCCAUGUGACGGGCUACCUGCGAAUCUACAAACUAGGGCGACAAAUUGCAAUGCAGUUUUCUUGAUGAUAUGAUGAUUUAUUUGUGUUUGGUGUUGCCGAUUAUGUGCAUAUACUUGGAUCUAGUAUUGCUUAUUCCGACUGUGUGUCUAGAAAUCUAGGAGGUUUGGACAGCAAGCGAUUGUUUUUUCUUCCAUGCCACAUUUUCUGGGCAACUCAACAUAAAUACGAGUACAUCUUAUCCUUACAUUGUGUGUCGCCUUUACCCAUUGUUUAAACUUGCACUUCUAUAUAAUCAAAUUUCAUAGUUCUUCUCGACGCCCAUCAUCAUCAUGGCCCAAUCCUCAGCCACCCCAUUGCAAGAUGUGAUUACUGUGGUCAAACAGAUUGGUUCUCUUCCGAUCUCUUCUGAACAUUGGAGUAACAUAUCACCAUUUGGCCAGCUCUAUCUCUUCUGCACCUCUUCGUCCAUGGCAAAGGGAUGAAGCUAUUGGUGUUGAAAUGUGGAACAUAGGUCUGAAGUUGGCACCCACGCUCCAACGCAAAGUUUAGCUCUUACAUGGCUUUUGUUAUAGACGAUGUAUGACAGAAGCACUUUAUUAUAAAUGAUAAAUCCUGGCAGC
rnacentral:lncRNA from 1 species